rnacentral:rRNA from 1 species
GAUGAACGCUAGCUACAGGCUUAACACAUGCAAGUCGAGGGGAAACGGCAUCGAAAGCUUGCUUUUGAUGGGCGUCGACCGGCGCACGGGUGAGUAACGCGUAUCCAACCUGCCCAUCACUUGGGAAUAACCUUGCGAAAGUAAGACUAAUGCCCAAUGACAUCCCACGAAGGCAUCCGAAUGGGAUUAAAGAUUUAUCGGUGAUGGAUGGGGAUGCGUCUGAUUAGCUUGUUGGCGGGGUGACGGCCCACCAAGGCAACGAUCAGUAGGGGUUCUGAGAGGAAGGUCCCCCACAUUGGAACUGAGACACGGUCCAAACUCCUACGGGAGGCAGCAGUGAGGAAUAUUGGUCAAUGGGCGAGAGCCUGAACCAGCCAAGUAGCGUGCAGGAUGACGGCCCUAUGGGUUGUAAACUGCUUUUAGAAGGGAAUAAAGUGGGUCACGUGUGACUUUUUGCAUGUACCUUAUGAAUAAGAACCGGCUAAUUCCGUG